AUAGGAGCCCCUCCUCCCAAGGAGGAAGCAGGGGCCCCAAAGGCCGGUCUGGCCCUAGCAUGGCUCCGUGUGCAUCUCGGCCCGGGGGAGACCUAGUUACCCUGGGCCGGGUGCCCUGGAGCAGGAGCCAGUGACUGUCGAAGGUAGUCACAAAACCAGCUUAGGAUGAAGAGAGACAUCUCCAUCCACCUGGUUGCCUGGGCCGGGAACAGAGCCAUCACAGAUACCCCUCUAUCACUCCUCGGAUAGCUCUCGUAAUCACCCACUUCUCUCCAACCCCACCCUGGUCCCAUCUCCCAGCUGGCCUUGCCCAAACUUCUCCAAAGCACAGUUGGAAGAACUUCUUUUUUUUUUUUAAAGAUUUUAUUUUUCCUUUUUCUCCCCAAAGCCCCCCAGUACAUAGUUGUAUAUUCUUCGUGUGGGUCCUUCUAGUUGUGGCAUGUGGGCUGCCGCCGCAACGUGGUUUGAUGAGCAGUGCCAUGUCCACGCCCAGGAUUCGAACCAACGAAACACUGGGCCGCCUGCAGCGGAGCGCGCGAACUUAACCACUCGGCCACGGGGCCAGCCCCUGGAAGAACUUCUAAAACCCUAGCUCUGAUCUGUCACCCCCUAGUUUAAGGCUCGGAUCUGGUUUCCCAUCGCCCUCGGGUCCAAAUCCAAACUCUGCUGACGGAGUUUACCAGACCAGCCUCCCCCUCUAGCCUAACGCCACCCCCAAACCACGCACCCCAGGUUGUGGCCCCAAACCGCAAGUACUUCCAGUCCUGCAAGCCUCCAGGUGGGGCAGGAUAAGGGUCCUGACCCCAGAACUCAGACUCAAGCCAGGUUCCCGUGUAAAUUGGUCUGGCCUCCCUCUUCCCGGGAGAUGGAGCCUCCUGGUGUAAGUGAGAAGGUCCUCUGAGUUAGUGCUUUUGUAAUCCACCCUCAGCAGUCAUAGCUAAAAGCCGGAAACCAAAUAACAUGGCAGGUAAAGCAACUUAACAAAAGCAGGCGUUUGCUCUAUUGUCUAGGUUUUAGAUCCUUUUAUAUCCCUCCCAAAAUGUCCUCGGGCUCAGAAAAAUCACAAGUGGAAAUGGAAAAGAGAAUAAAAACUACAGAAAAGGGGAAAACAUUCUGGAGAUUUGUUUUUUCUGAACAUUAACUGUGCUUUGGCCAACGGGAGCUAAUUGGUAAAGGAACGUGUUUCCGUGAACAACUUUUAUAAACACAACAUUUCUCAAGGCUGUCCCAUCCACCAGACAACACACGCCGGCCUGGGCACCCUCCCCACUUGCCCAGGUCCCUCCAGCGGGCUCCCCUCCUCAGCGCACCCCUCCUCCUCCCCAGCCAACGUCCACUUAGGCUUCCUCCGCUGACUCCCAACCAGGUGAGUCUCCCCAACUACAUUUCCACGGCCCCUUGCCCCUGCCCAGUGGAAACACUCAUCUUUCAUUUGUAACAACUGGUUCAGUGUCCGGCUGAGCUGGGUUACGCUCCUCAUCACAACACUCUUGGCAGGUGGCACGGGCUGAAGAAGAGGCGAAAGAGGGGCACCUGUGUGCUCGAUUCUCUGCUGAGUUUGUUACAUGUGUUAUCCCCUUGCACCUUCACAACAAGCCGGUGAAGUGGGUGCCUUUAUUCCUUCUCACAAAGAGAAAGCUGAAACUCAGAGGUUGAGACCCACAGGCAGUCGGCACGACAAUGGAAGUAAGGUCUGGCUAAGGCAGAGCCUACACUCCCAACCACCAGACUAUACAAUACGUGCUCAGGGUAUUAUUGGAUGGAUGGAUGGUGGAUGGAUGCAGGGAUAGAUGAGGGAUGAAUGGAGAGGUGGGUGGAGGGUGGAUGGAUGGACGAAUGAUGGAUGGAUUGAUGAUGGAUCGGCAGAUGGGUGGAGGGUGGGUGGAUGGAUGGAUGGUGACUGGAUGGACGGAUGAGUGAAUGAGUGAAAAGCAGUGCUGAGAGUCUGGAAAGAAGAGAGCAGCUAUGCAAAUAGGAACAGUCCACGAGCGUCUAAGGCAGUGGCAGAGCUGAAAUUAAGAACAUCACCUUAUAGGACUCGAAGCUCUUGCAAAACCAUAUUUUGCCAUGUAGUGAUAAAUAUUUCAUCAAGAACAGUGGACUGCCAAACUAGAGCGCUUGCUGGGAGGUGGCAGAGGAACAGACCACGUGGCAGGAAUGCUGAGAUGCUCUGUGAUGCAGACAGGGGCUGGGUGGGGAGCACUGGCCCUUUAAUGACAAGCCCAGAGCUUUGGGUUCCGAUGGCAGUUGAUGAGGGACACGGGGGUGCCCAGGACCCAGGGCUUCCAGGUGCUGCUCACCAGAUCUCCAGACUGGACGGCCCCCUUGCUGGGCCACCAUUCCAGGGAGCUGCUGACGCUACCCGGAGACCCCAAGGCUCUUGCCAGCCCAGGCUUUUAGGAAGACGACUCCUCCAGUGCACCCCGCACCAUCUCCUCCCCUUGCUCACUGCAGAGCAGGUUCCACUGGGCAUCACUCCCCCGCCCCCCAGGUGCAGAGGCACAUGCUGGGGACGCAGCGGCCUUGAACCGUGAUCUCCUCUCCUCCUUAGGGAAAGGUAUGGAUCUAGGGUUUGGUCCAGACUUAAAGCAUCGAUUCAAAGAAUUUUAAAAAUCUUCUUUCUAAAAUGAGCAGCUAUUCCAAUGAAGGCAGCCACACACCGAGUCCCACCUGGUGACAUUGUUUGCCCCUGGUGCCCCCGCUUCGCUGCUUGGCAGACGCUGUGUGUGGAGCCCGGGCCAGCACUCACACCCCGCAAGCUGAGGGCAUACCCAACCAACCAGUCCAAACCUCCUCUGUCGAACCAUCCGUGCCAAGCACGGGGGGAGGUACAGGUGGACUAGCAGCCACAGAGCCACAGCCCUGGGGUGCAACACAGCCACACGGUUGUGCUCCACAGUGGAGCCGAGUCCUGAGACUGGUGGGGUGCGAGGUGGAUGUGGGAGCUGCGAAGAGUGGGGUAUGCUCAGCACAGACUCCUCCAGGGGACACAGGGAAGGCAGGCAGCAGGAGCCAGGGAGAGCAAGGAGGACAGCAGGAAGAGUGUUCCCAGCACAGAGGACAGCUUCUGCAAAGGCCCUGUGGCAGGAAGGAGCUUGGGAGUGAGACAGCCAGCAUGGCCAGACGUGGUGGGCAGUCAGGUGGGUGGGCUAGAGCGUGUGGGAGCUACAGGCCCUGGGCUGGGGACACUGUACAACCCUGAUGGUCUGUCGGUAACAAUAAUGUGUUCCCUCCAGCCUGGGGAAGUGGGAGGUCGCUGUGGUUGUACAGGAGAAGAGGAGUGCAUGUACUGGACUGAUGCUUAGGAGGUAGAAUCCACAAGACUUGGAGGCCAACUGGGUGUGGAGAGUGGGGUGGUGGGAGUCAAGGGUGACAGCAGCUCCUAAUGGGGCAUUCGAGGGACGAGGAGCCAUGCCCAAGGCAGGGAGCCCCAGCAUGCCCUGCAUCUGCCACCUCCAGGACUCCCACAGCUGUCAGGCCUAACGCCUGUUGCUCGGUCCUCCCAGGGCAGUGGCUGGGGCCCUCCUGGCCUUGUGGCCCCAUCUCACUCAUUCAUCCAUCUCGUUCCUCACAGGCACCUUCUCAUAUAUCCCCUGGAACCCCUGUGAUGUAGGUUCUGUUAUCAUCUCCACUUCACAGGUUCUGCUUCCCCGACUUCCCCAGCCGCGGGGAAGGUCAGUUCGCUGAGCUGCGUGGGCCACGUGUGAGUGGGCGAGCAGGACCCCUGGGCCUGUGGAAGUGGGGGUGGGACUGGGUCUUCCCAUCAGAGCCAGGGCCCCAAGGAGGGCCCAAGGUCCUGCCAUACUGCAGGGACUCCUUGGGUCAGUGGGAGGCCCAAGGAGGGUCAUCAGGGUCCUGGGCAUUUGGUCAGCAGCCGUGGACAGCCUGGCGGGUCAGGGGCGGCUUUGGGGUGUGCUCCCUCCGGGCCCUGCAAAGUGGACAGCAGGCGGAGCGGCUCUUUGUUUUGGGCUCAGCGGGAGUGAGGCAGGGUCUUUUUAAUAGUGAGGUGGCCCAUCCUGGUGGCCAGAGUGCCUAGGAUGUCCAAGGGGAGGAGACCCAGAUGGCAGGAAGGGGAGGUAGCCUGGGAGGUGACUGAAAUAGAAGACUGUAAACCGGGUAGCAAACCUGGGCUCUGGGGGGGCGGCAUCCAGCACCACGUUUCUGAGGAAUCAGUCUGCAGAUUCUCACGUUCCACACUCGCCUUCCCCGACUUUCUCCCACUUGGUCAGCCAAAAAGGCAAAAGUCUUCCCCAGCCAGAGCCUGGCCCCGGGAUGUAACAGCGUCCUGGGCUCCCAGCAAAGGGAUGGUGGCGAGGGUGGGGAAGGGUUUGGCCUCUCCUCUGAACUGUCCUUCCCUGAACCCAGGGCUUUGGCAUCUGAGCUCUCUGACAUAUCGGCUCUGUGACCCAGGGCAAGUCACUCCACCUCCCAGAGCCUCAGUCACUUGAAAGCCUUAGACAGAACGCCCGUCCCCACUGCAUGUGCAGCCGAAUGGGCUCGGUGGAGCCGGCCCUCACUUGAAUAUUCUAGAGACAUGUGCAUUUCCAGCAGUAGAGCUCCUGCUUGAACUGUAAUAAACCCAAUGACCCCAGGGGCUUGAGGUGGGUCUAGCCCACACAAGGAAACUCGACCUUGCAUUGGCAGGUUCAGCGAGCACCGAGGAAAACUUGUUUGUUUUGUUUUUGACGUUUUUAUGGGAGUCUAACAUACACAACGUGGGCCCACCUCCAAGUUACAGCCAGAUAAAAAUGUACUUAUGUGUACACCCGAGGAUUUGCCACCAAAACAAAGACCCGAAACGUGUCCACGAGCUGGGCCUUCAAAAUACAGGAAAAGGGCCAGGAAGCCUUGUUUUUACCUUUGUGGCACACUCCUGGAACCUCAGGCUAGGGACCGUUGAUCUCAUUCCUGCCCCUCACUGGGCAGAUGGGGAAACUGAGGCUGGGGCGAGGUCUCCAGGCAGAGCCGGGAACAUCCCUUGCUCCUCGCCAGCUCUGGGAACUUGGAGCCCUCUCCCACAACAGCAAACUUGGACGCCCGGGCCUCCGCGCGCGGUGGGGCGGGAGGGAG
rnacentral:lncRNA from 1 species